rnacentral:tRNA from 1 species
GCUCGCAUAGCUCAGUUGGAUAGAGCGACAGUUUCCUAAACUGUAGGUCGCAGGUUCGAUCCCUGCUGCGGGCG